AUGACCCUAUCCUCAUCGUUCUGCAACCCAGGAGCUGCUGUCUCCACUUGAACUCAAAGCAAACGAAACUAUAGCAGAUAUGCCAUAACCAGAAAUUAAUACAUGACCAUAUCCGCAUAGUUAUUCAAAGCAACAGCUGCCGAACUAAACUAGUUACCAAAGCAGCCUAAAUCAAAAAACCAAUACGCCUUAAGCUGCCUCCAUUGCAGCCUAAACAAAAACUUUGACAGAAUUAGCAGAGUGUUAACGUUUUUUAGGAGGUUUCAGAAUACCUCCUAUCAUUU